UGAAGUUUAAUGUUUAACUGCAUCAGUUUAUUUUCUCACAUCAGAUACAUUGUUAAUAAUAUUUACAUUAAACAUAAAAUUCCAUGUAAAAAAUACAAGUUUAAUAUGUCUCACAUCAAGGUAUUUUAGAGUUCCCUAGCAGUGGCAACACACACACAAUGACUACAAGCUCAUGCUUCCACAUCGAUCCAGAUCAGAAAUCCUCCUUCCACGGAUAAAAUAAUAAAAUUAAAACACUUACGUUUAAAAAAAUACAACCAAAAAUGUACAAAAUUAGAGGAGAGAGAUGAUAGGUAAAUAAAUGCAUGGCAAUUAUCGUCAGUAGAAAAUUCAAUAGGAGAUAACUGUAUAUCAAUAGGAGGCAUAUAGAUGUGGGCACUAAAAAGUUUGUUUUAUACAGGUUCUUGUGCUGUACUAUCGCUAGUAGACACUAAAGAGGAAUUGCUGGACAAUUGUUGUUUUGCCAAUACUCUACACUCGUAGAAAAAAAAAAAAUGAUUCUUCAGCUGUCUCACCCAAAAGGGUUCUACCUGGAAUCAAAAGGUUUCUACAGUACCUGUAACCAAGCAGGGUACUUCUAUGGGGACAGCUGAGGAAUGCUUUUGGAACCUUUUCUUCUAAGUGUGGAGCUGUUUAGUGUCCACUGCUGCAGCAGUUUGUAGCAAAGGGAUUCUUGAUAGUAGGGACAAAAAAAUUGAUUUAGUUGCAUUAUUUGAGCUAAAAAAUAUUUUUUUUGGGGUGGGGGGGGGGUGGAUUUUAUAGGGUAAAGAUUAGUGUGCAUAUUUUUCAUUAAUAUUUUAAAUAUGAUGAAUUUCCAUGUCGGCUCCAUGCCUGGAUAUGCCAUUGUCCGGAGCAAAGGAUCCCAAUUUCAAACUUCACAAAAAAAAAACGAUCUUAUCUAGUUUAUUACAGCAGCCCUCUGUGACUUUCAAUUAUUUGUGUCGUGUCUGAUCUCCGUCAGAUUGGUCAAAAUCCUAAAUUAAUUAGGAAUGAACAGGGCCAGUUAUACCAUAAGGACAUGAAGUGCAACAGGACCACUCAUGGUCUGGAUAGUUCUCUACUUUUGAUAGAUUUAAACAAACAAUAUUGGAAUUCCCCCGUGGUCACAACCAUAAACUGUCAACUCCAUUUGCCUUAUAGAUUAAGAUAGGAUAUUAAUUUAGGUUCAAAUACAGCGUGUUGUAUUUAAUGAGGUUUUAUUCAUAAAGCAAGUAAGGUAAUUAAAUAAAUAAUCACAAUUAUACUCCACUUGAAUGAAGAUUAAAAAUAUAAUUGUUGUAGACAAUUUAAAACAUUAACUCAAUCAGAUUUGUUUACUGGGGAUUUUAGAAUGAAUCAUUUAUUUUUACUAAUGUUUGUAUUGAACUUUUAAGUUCAGAGUAUCUGUUCAGAGUAUCUAUUCAGAAUAUCUGUUCAGAGUAUCUGUUCAAUCUGUUCAGAGUAUCUAUUCAGAGUAUCUGUUCAGAGUAUCUGUUCAGGGUAUCUGUUCAGAGUAUCUGUUCAAUCUGUUCAGAGUAUCUGUUCGGAGUAUCUGUUCGGAGUAUCUGUUCAGAGUAUCUGUUCAGAGUAUCUGUUCAGAGUAUCUGUUCAGAGUAUCUGUUCAGAGUAUCUGUUCAGAGUAUCUGUUCAAUCUGUUCAGAGUAUCUGUUCAGAGUAUCUGUUCAGAGUAUCUGUUCAGAGUAUCUGUUCAAUCUGUUCAGAGUAUCUAUUCAGAGUAUCUGUUCAGAGUAUCUGUUCAGAGUAUCUGUUCAAUCUGUUCAGAGUAUCUAUUCAGAGUAUCUGUUCAGAGUAUCUGUUCAGAGUAUCUGUUCAAUCUGUUCAGAGUAUCUGUUCAGAAUAUCUGUUCAGAGUAUCUGUUCAGAAUAUCUGUUCAGAGUAUCUGUUCAGAGUAUCUGUUCAGAGUAUCUGUUCAAUCUGUUCAGAGUAUCUGUUCAAUCUGUUCAGAGUAUCUGUUCAGAGUAUCUGUUCAAUCUGUUCAGAGUAUCUAUUCAGAGUAUCUGUUCAGAGUAUCUGUUCAGAGUAUCUGUUCAAUCUGUUCAGAGUAUCUGUUCAGAGUAUCUGUUCAGAGUAUCUGUUCAGAGUAUCUGUUCAGAGUAUCUGUUCAGAGUAUCUGUUCAGAGUAUCUGUCACUGACGGCUAACAACCUUAAGAUCCAUGUUUUGUCAAUAUUCAGAAAAAAAUAUGUUUUUCUGUUCUGCAACAUAGGCUUAAACUAUAAGUCAAAACAAAAAUGAUAAUUGUAAAAGUGCAAUGCUUUUUAUGGUAUUUGAUGGAGGUGAAACAAAUGAAUAGGUGUUCCAUUUACAUGCUUUGAUAGCUCAAAAUUCGGUCUAACAAAAUAUAUAUUUCACGUGUCAAAUGAGAGUGUCACUUCUUUCAAGAAUCCCUGAGCAUAUACUGUAAAUAAUAAUAAUAAUAGGGAAGGAGGAUGUGGAGGAGGAUGUGGAGGAGGAGGAGGAGGAGGAGGAGGAGGAUGAGGAGGAUGAGGAGGAUGAUGAGGAGGAGGAGGAUGAGGAGGAGGAGGAGGAGGAGGAGGAGGAGGAUGAGGAGGAUGAGGAGGUGGAUGUGGAGGAGGAGGAGGAGGAGGAGGAGGAGGAUGAGGAGGAUGAGGAGGAUGAUGUGGAGGAGGAGGAUGAGGAGGAGGAUGUGGAGGAGGAGGACAAGGAGGAUGUGGAGGAGAAGUAGGUGGAGGAGGAUGUGGAGGAGGACGAGGACAAGGAGGAUGUGGAGGAGGAGGAUGUGAAGGAGAGGAGGCAGAGAAGAGGAGAAGGGGAGGAGGAGGAGGAGGAGGAGGAGGAGGAUGAGGAGGAAGAGGAGGAGGAGGAGGAGGAGGAUGUGGAGGAGGAGGAGGAUGAGGAGGAAGAGGAGGAGGAGGAGGAGGAGGAUGUGGAGGAGGGGGAUGUGGAGGAGGGGGAUGUGGAGGAAGAUGUGGAGGAGGAGGAGGAUGUGGAGGAGGGGGAUGUGGAGGAGGAGGAGGACAAGGAGGAUGUGGAGGAGAAGUAGGUGGAGGAGGAUGUGGAGGAGGACGAGGACAAGGAGGAUGUGGAGGAGGAGGAUGUGAAGGAGGAGGAUGUGAGGAGGAGGAGGAUGUGGAGGAGGAGGAGGAUGUGAGGAGGAGGAGGAUGUGGAGGAGGAGGAGGAGGAGGAUGUGAAGGAGAGCAGGCAGAGAAGAGGAGAAGGGGAGGAAUAGGAGGAGGAGAGGAGGAUGUGAAGGAGGAGGUGGAUGUGGAGGACGAGGUGGAUGUGGAGGAUGUGAGGAGGAGGAGGAGAGGAGGAUGUAGAGCAGGAGGAGGAGGAAAUCAGUGAUAGUAAUGGCGUUACAUGGGUAAGAUGUGUUUCCAUACAGCGGGUACAGCAAUAAAACACUUCACCAGCAGCUUCAGACCAACCUAAUGCCAUACUAGCACACAUAUAGAGACAUUGCAAGAAAACAAGGUGACACGGAAGAAAGUCUCACAAACAAAGUUUUACUCUAUCCCAACAACCAAUGUUCAAAAGUUAAAUUGUUACACGUUCAAAAACCUCUAAGGUAAAUUAUUUUUUAUUUUUUUUAUGGAGCACAAACACAAUUCAUUAUUUUUUGUUGUCGUCGUUCCAAAAUAUACAGCUGACAUGGCAAAACACCGAACUUUCAGUUUAUGAAAAUACAGUUAGUUGUGUUUGUGUGACAGUGCCGUUUCCGUGGUAAUAGCUUCUAACUGGCUUUUUGAUCAAACACAUUAUGGUCUGAAAUCAACACUGUCACAGCAUAGCAUGGUUCUAUUGUAAAAUAACUGGCCUACUAUAGUAUAUUAAUGUUCCUUCUCUAAAAAAAUACAAUAACACGUGCUAUUCUCUGCAAGAUGAAUGUUAGAUAGCUUGAUUUGAAAGUCUUUAUAGCAAUAUAUUUCUUAAAACCAUGUUCGAAAAUAUUUAAAAUAAGACAAAGAAAGGUGUGGUUUGUCCUAGAAAAGGUCUCCUGGCCACCCUCUAGCCGUGAUCAAAACAUCUGAACAAAAUCACAUUUCUAAAAAUGCAUCACAAAUACAUUUUGUGAGGUUGUUUGCUCUUUCACAUUUUUUUGAGGACAGCCCUGGUUGGUGUGUGAUUGUCAUAUUGGUCAAUUGGACCUGUAAGUCUGAGGAACUCCUUCCUUUCCUUCUGAUUAAUACGCCACAAAGCAUUAAGGACCUCAGUAGAUCUCUGACUGGACCUAUUUCUCAUACAGAUAUGGACAGUAUAUGGAAAGUCAGCAUUGGACAUGUGUCACCGUCCCAGCGGACAAAAUGGAUGUUGAAUGUAAACGUUGUCUUGAAAACAAAUUAACAUGAUAAUAAUAAUAUAAUAAUAUUAAUUAAUAAUAAUACGAUGUCAUUAACUGGAUGGUAUGAUGUCAUCAACUGGAUGGUAUGAUGUCAUCAACUGGAUGGUAUGAUGUCAUUAACUGGAUGGUAUGAUGUCAUUAACUGGAUGGUAUGAUGUCAUUAACUGGAUGGUAUGAUGUCAUCAACUGGAUGGUACGAUGUCAUUAACUGGAUGGUAUGAUGUCAUCAACUGGAUGGUAUGAUGUCAUCAACUGGAUGGUAUGAUGUCAUUAACUGGAUGGUAUGAUGUCAUUAACUGGAUGGUAUGAUGUCAUUAACUGGAUGGUAUGAUGUCAUCAACUGUAUGGUAUGAUGUCAUCAAAUGGAUGGUAUGAUGUCAUCAACUGGAUGGUAUGAUGUCAUUAACUGGAUGGUAUGAUGUCAUUAACUGGAUGGUAUGAUGUCAUUAACUGGAUGGUAUGAUGUCAUCAACUGUAUGGUACAAUGUCAUUAACUGGAUGGUAUGAUGUCAUCAACUGUAUGGUACGAUGUCAUUAACUGGAUGGUAUGAUGUCAUUAACUGUAUGGUACGAUGUCAUUAACUGGAUGGUAUGAUGUCAUCAACUGUAUGGUACGAUGUCAUUAACUGGAUGGUAUGAUGUCAUCAACUGGAUGGUAUGAUGUCAUCAACUGGAUGGUAUGAUGUCAUUAACUGGAUGGUAUGAUGUCAUUAACUGGAUGGUAUGAUGUCAUCAACUGGAUGGUAUGAUGUCAUCAACUGGAUGGUAUGAUGUCAUCAACUGGAUGGUAUGAUGUCAUCAACUGGAUGGUAUGAUGUCAUUAACUGGAUGGUAUGAUGUCAUUAACUGUAUGGUAUGAUGUCACUAACUGUAUGGUAUGAUGUCACUAACUGUAUGGUAAGCUCUGUCUGUGACAUCAUACCAUCAUCAACUACCAGACAAUUAUUAGAAGAAAAAAAUUGAUGGAGCAAAUAAAAUCUGUUUAAAAAAAUAAAUUACAAGAUUUAAAAGAAUACAAGAUUUUCUAAAAUCUUAAAACUGUACUUCGAUUGGAUUUAGAGCCCUUAGCUUGACGUUAUAUGUUAUGGGGGUGAUAACAUAACACUGUUAGAAAUCCAAAAUAACCAAAUCAGUCCUAAUUGUAGAUGUUUUUGAGAGGAGUGAUCCAGGUCAAACUAUCAAUUAUCCUGUUGAUAUAGUCCAUGUCAAAUAUUUAUUAUUAAAAACAAUGAUGACAGAAAUAAAAUGUCAUGUACUUUCACCAUCACACACGCAAUCAAACAUACAUGUACGUAUUUAUAAAGAAGCAAGCAAAUGAUUAUUAACAAACAUAAAACAAAAAUCCAUACAUACAAAAGUGUAUACCAAUCAAGAGAAGAGAGGUCACUACUACUGUGGGAAGAGAUAAGAGGUCCCUACUACUGUGGAAGAGAAAAUAGGUUCCUAUCACUGUGGGAAGAGAAAAGAGGUCCCUACUAAUGUGGGAAGAGAAAAGAGGUCCCUACUACUGUGGGAAGAGAAAAUAGGUUCCUAUCACUGUGGGAAGAGAAAAGAGGUCCCUACUAAUGUGGUAAGAGAAAAGAGGUCCCUACUACUGUGGGAAGAGAAAAUAGGUUCCUAUCACUGUGGGAAGAGAAAAGAGGUCCCUACUACUGUGGGAAGAGAAAAGAGGUCCCUACUAAUGUGGGAAGAGAAAAGAGGUUCCUAUCACUGUGGUAAGAGAAGAGAGGUCCCUACUAAUGUGGGAAGAGAAAAGAGGUCCCUAUCACUGUGGAAGAGAAAAGAGGUCCCUAUCAUGUGGGAAGAGAAAAGUAUUAAAUAAAUCUCGAGUGACACAGUGGUGUAUAUUGUACAUUGUUGAACACUUGGCAAAAGUUAAAAAUGAACAUAUACAAGGAUAUGGAAGCAAUCAAGACAUCGAGGACAGCUAGUUGAAGAGCACACCUACAUUAGGGUGGUGAGGGUAAGGGUGAGGCUGAGUGGAGUGGAAUGUGAUGGCAGUGGUGUCUACAAUAACAGCACAAGAUGAGGAGUCAUACUGACAGCCUCGGUGGAACAUGCAGUGCACAACACACAAGGUUUAAGGUCCACAAACUACUGACACUUCCAUCAUAGCAGGGGGAGGCCCACUCCAUCAUCAGGCUCAUAGAAACAGAGAGAGAGAGAGAGAGAGAGAGAGAGAGAGAGAGAGAGAGAGAGAGAGAGAGAGAGAGAGAGACAGACAGAGAGACAGAGAGAGAGAGAGAGAGAGAGACAGAGAGAGAGACAGAGAGAGAGAGAGACAGAUAGAGGGAGAGAGAGAGAGAGAGAGAGAGAGAGAGAGACAGAGAGAGAGAGAGAGAGAGAGAGAGAGACAGAGAGAGACGAGAGAGAGAGAGAGGUGGUGGUGGUGGUGGUGGGGGUGGCAUAGCAUACACACCCUUAGAGCAAAGCUUGGUGUAGCUUCCUGUAUUUCAGGUUACAUCAGCUCUGAUGAUGGCUCUUACUGAGCUGGAGCUCCAGAAUGAUUUCAGGGGUUCACACGGACUGCUCCUUAGGGAAGAGGGGCCGUGGCGCCUCGCCCUGACCUUGGCCUUGGGCGGGGUAGCUGGCGGGGUACAGGGGGUUGUUGGAGAGAGGAUGUGUGUAGGGGUUCUGGGGUAAGAAGGUAACAGGAGGGGGGUAGGCCUGAGUUGGUUGUGACUCGAGACAGUGUUCCUUGUUGUAGACUCGAUGGUAGCUCACAUGUUCAGCCGGGUUGGAUGGUUCUUGCCACCCACAGUUCUGUGGAAACAAAGACAGAAUGAAAAACAAACUUUAAGAAAUUAAGAAUCAAUUACAUUAUUUGGAAAACUUUAGAUAAAGAUGGUUUAUUUUUUUACGUCUGUGUAGUAACACUGCUAUUACACUAGUUACAACAUCUUUCCACUAAUGGUAUUUACAGUGU
rnacentral:lncRNA from 1 species